rnacentral:rRNA from 1 species
AUGGCUCAGGAUGAACGCUAGCGGCAGGCUUAACACAUGCAAGUCGAGGGGCAUCGGGAGUAGCAAUACUGCCGGCGACCGGCGCAAGGGUGCGUAACGCGUGAGCAACAUGCCCGUAUCAGGGGGGAUAAUCCAUGGAAACGUGGUCUAAUACCCCAUAGUAAUUAUGUAAGGCAUCUUAUAUAAUUUAAAGCUUUGGUGGAUACGGAUUGGCUCGCGUGACAUUAGCUAGAUGGUAAGGUAACGGCUUACCAUGGCUACGAUGUCUAGGGGUUCUGAGAGGAAGGUCCCCCCACACUGGAACUGAGACACGGUCCAGACUCCUACGGGAGGCAGCAGUGAGGAAUAUUGGACAAUGGAUGGAAAUCUGAUCCAGCCAUGCCGCGUGCAAGGAAGACGGCCCUAUGGGUUGUAAACUGCUUUUGUAUGGGAGCAAUAAGGGCUACGCGUAGUCCGAUGAGAGUACCAUACGAAUAAGCACCGGCUAACUCCGUGCCAGCAGCCGC